rnacentral:rRNA from 1 species
UACGGGGGGAGCAAGCGUUGUUCGGAUUUACUGGGCGUAAAGGGCGCGUAGGCGGUCGUGACAAGUCACUUGUGAAAUCUCCGGGCUUAACUCGGAACGGUCAAGUGAUACUGUCGGACUAGAGUACAGAAGGGGCAACUGGAAUUCUCGGUGUAGCGGUGAAAUGCGUAGAUAUCGAGAGGAACACCUGCGGCGAAGGCGGUUCUCUGGGCAUUACCUGACGCUGAGGAGCGAAAGUGUGGGGAGCGAACAGG